AUAUACACAUAUGUAUUGCAACUAAUUAACAACUGUUUAAAAAAAUAUUUUAGGAACAGAAAACGCGCUACCUAGUGAACUUGUCAGUCAGCUGAUUACAGUCUAUGACUAACGCUGGUCGUUAUGUGUGAAUGAAGACUUCAUUGAGUAUUGAUUGGAAGUUGGAACUUUGUAUCUUCUACCGAUUAGAAUGCUGACUGCAGCUGAAUAUAUUUUUCCUUAUAUCAAUGUUUCUGAGUGGCCCACCUGAAUUUUUUAAUCUCAGUGGACCACUGUGCUGUCACAACCUUUCCGUAAUAAUACAACCUUUCUAUGGACCACCUGAAGGAAACUCGUGGAUCACACAUUCAGAAUUACUGUUUUACAUUAUUUAUUUACGCACAGAGUGGGUUAACUUCAACCUUGACAUACAUUAUAAGUUUAAAUUUUAAAAAUGAAACAACCAAAGAUAUCUGUUUGCCUUGUUUAUGUAAUAUCUUGUACAAAGACUUUCUUUUAAGCCUAAUUUUCUGUAUUACCGGUAAGCUUUAUAUAGAAUCAUUUGUUAGCUGAACAGAAAUAUCAGAUUCCUUUACUAGCUAAAACAUGCCAUUUUCUUUAAAUUUGCAGAUUUUACUAGGAAAAAAAACACUUUUUUUUUUCAAAUUUGUGAUCAAGAUUAUGUUACCCUUAUUAUGACCU